AACGAACGCUGGCGGCAUGCCUAACACAUGCAAGUCGAACGAGACCUUCGGGUCUAGUGGCGCACGGGUGCGUAACGCGUGGGAACCUGCCCUUAGGUUCGGAAUAACUCCCCGAAAGGGGUGCUAAUACCGGAUAAUGUCUUCGGACCAAAGAUUUAUCGCCUUUGGAUGGGCCCGCGUUGGAUUAGCUAGUUGGUAGGGUAAAAGCCUACCAAGGCGACGAUCCAUAGCUGGUCUGAGAGGAUGAUCAGCCACACUGGGACUGAGACACGGCCCAGACUCCUACGGGAGGCAGCAGUGGGGAAUAUUGGACAAUGGGCGAAAGCCUGAUCCAGCAAUGCCGCGUGAGUGAUGAAGGCCUUAGGGUUGUAAAGCUCUUUUACCCGGGAUGAUAAUGACAGUGCCGGGAGAAUAAGCUCCGGCUAACUCCGUGC
rnacentral:rRNA from 1 species